GGAGGGCAAGUCUGGUGCCAGCAGCCGCGGUAAUUCCAGCUCCAAUAGCGUAUAUUAAAGUUGUUGCAGUUAAAAAGCUCGUAGUUGAACCUUGGGUCUGGCUGGCCGGUCCGCCUCACCGCGAGUACUGGUCCGGCUGGACCUUUCCUUCUGGGGAACCCCAUGGCCUUCACUGGCUGUGGGGGGAACCAGGACUUUUACUGUGAAAAAAUUAGAGUGUUCAAAGCAGGCCUUUGCUCGAAUACAUUAGCAUGGAAUAAUAGAAUAGGACGUGCGGUUCUAUUUUGUUGGUUUCUAGGACCGCCGUAAUGAUUAAUAGGGAUAGUCGGGGGCGUCAGUAUUCAGCUGUCAGAGGUGAAAUUCUUGGAUUUGCUGAAGACUAACUACUGCGAAAGCAUUCGCCAAGGAUGUUUUCAUUAAUCAGGGAACGAAAGUUAGGGGAUCGAAGACGAUCAGAUACCGUCGUAGUCUUAACCAUAAACUAUGCCGACUAGGGAUCGGACGGGCUUCUAUGAUGACCCGUUCGGCACCUUACGGGAAAC
rnacentral:rRNA from 1 species